AGUGAACGCUGGCGGCAGGCCUAACACAUGCAAGUCGAGCGGCAGCGGGUCCUUCGGGAUGCCGGCGAGCGGCGGACGGGUGAGGAAUGCAUCGGAAUCUGCCUCUAUGUGGGGGAUAACGUAGCGAAAGUUACGCUAAUACCGCAUAUUCUAUGAGCAGGAAAGCAGGGGAUCGCAAGACCUUGCGCUGAUUGAGCGGCCGAUGUCAGAUUAGCUAGUUGGUGAGGUAAAGGCUCACCAAGGCGACGAUCUGUAGCGGGUCGGAGAGGUUGAUCCGCCACACUGGAACUGAGACACGGUCCAGACUCCUACGGGAGGCAGCAGUGGGGAAUUUUGGACAAUGGGGGCAACCCUGAUCCAGCCAUGCCGCGUGAGUGAAGAAGGCCUUCGGGUUGUAAAGCUCUUUCGGCCGGGAAGAAAUCGCACGGGCUAAUACCCUGUGUGGAUGACGGUACCGGAAUAAGAAGCACCGGCUAACUACGUGCCAGCCGCCGCCGUAAUAC
rnacentral:rRNA from 1 species